UAUCAUAUUAUGAAAGUUUUUUCAAAAAAAUAAAAUCAAGAAAGUUUUUCUUUUUUCAAUCAAUAUCAUGAAAGUUAUUUAAAUUUUUUUUUUUUAAAAAAGUUAUUGCAACAAAGUAAUUCCGUAUAUAUAACGCAUUGAUUUUAGUAUAAAGGCACCACUCCCAUUACCACAAACUCUUCAUUCCAAAACCACUCAAUUGAGAAUACAUUAUUAUUCCUUUUCUCCAUCUCACUUUCUUUCAAACACACAACCAUGUCUUCUGAGGUACUUAACAUUUUUAUAUGUUCUUGUUGUUGCUCUUGUAUUUUAAUUUCUUGUGCUUGAUCAUUUGAUUCUUGGUCUUUGUUGGAUUCCAGUUUCUUAAAGUUUUUCAUUGAUUUGGUUCCUUGUUUAGAUCUUUUGUGUUUUGUUUUAUGAUUCUGAAAGAAAAAAAAAUGGUUGUAAUGAAAAUAGAGAAGAUUCAAUAAUAUGUUCAAAAGAGUUGAAAAUUAUUGUUGCAUGUAGUUUUCAUCAACUCAACCAUCGGUUAGUUUAUCGAAGAAAUUCCUUGAACGAUACAUAGUUCAUUAUUAUUACAUGUAAAUAAAUUACUAGUAAAACUUCAAAUCUAAUAGUAAUGAAGAAAUCAAGAAUGUUUCUUCCUUGUGUGUUACAAACUCUAUCGCAGGGAUGCUUCUUAUCAAAUACGUGUCCAGUAUCCCACAUGUGUUCGUGUACUACACCAACACAUGUGAUUACAUUUAAUUACUUUAUUUUCUCCAAUUAUUAAUGGUGUUGAUGAGUGUCUAGUGUUUGAUGUGUCGACGGCGCUUCAAUGAAUUCAUUCUCUUUAGAUAAUGUUAAGGGUCCACCUG
rnacentral:lncRNA from 1 species